AGGCCACCGGCUUCGGGUGUUACCGACUUUCAUGACGUGACGGGCGGUGUGUACAAGGCCCGGGAACGUAUUCACCGCAGCGUUGCUGAUCUGCGAUUACUAGCGACUCCGACUUCACGGGGUCGAGUUGCAGACCCCGAUCCGAACUGAGACCGGCUUUGAAAGGAUUCGCUCCACCUCACGGCAUCGCAGCCCUUUGUACCGGCCAUUGUAGCAUGUGUGAAGCCCUGGACAUAAGGGGCAUGAUGACUUGACGUCAUCCCCACCUUCCUCCGAGUUGACCCCGGCAGUCUCUCACGAGUCCCCACCAUAACGUGCUGGCAACAUGAGACAAGGGUUGCGCUCGUUGCGGGACUUAACCCAACAUCUCACGACACGAGCUGACGACAGCCAUGCACCACCUGCACACAGGCCACAAGGGAACCGACAUCUCUGCCGGCGUCCUGUGCAUGUCAAACCCAGGUAAGGUUCUUCGCGUUGCAUCGAAUUAAUCCACAUGCUCCGCCGCUUGUGCGGGCCCCCGUCAAUUCCUUUGAGUUUUAGCCUUGCGGCCGUACUCCCCAGGCGGGGUACUUAAUGCGUUAGCUACGGCACGGAUCCCAAGGAAGGAAACCCACACCUAGUACCCACCGUUUACGGCGUGGACUACCAGGGUAUCUAAUCCUGUUCGCUCCCCACGCUUUCGCUCCUCAGCGUCAGUUACUGCCCAGAGACCCGCCUUCGCCACCGGUGUUCCUCCUGAUAUCUGCGCAUUCCACCGCUACACCAGGAAUUCCAGUCUCCCCUGCAGUACUCCAGUCUGCCCGUAUCGCCCGCACGCCCACAGUUAAGCUGUGAGUUUUCACGAACAACGCGACAAACCACCUACGAGCUCUUUACGCCCAGUAAUUCCGGACAACGCUCGCACCCUACGUAUUACCGCGGCUGCUGGCACGUAGUUGGCCGGUGCUUCUUCUCCAGGUACCGUCACUUGCGCUUCGUCCCUGGCGAAAGAGGUUUACAACCCGAAGGCCGUCAUCCCUCACGCGGCGUCGCUGCAUCAGGCUUGCGCCCAUUGUGCAAUAUUCCCCACUGCUGCCUCCCGUAGGAGUCUGGGCCGUAUCUCAGUCCCAGUGUGGCCGGACACCCUCUCAGGCCGGCUACCCGUCGUCGCCUUGGUAGGCCAUCACCCCACCAACAAGCUGAUAGGCCGCGGGCCCAUCCCACACCGCAAAAGCUUUCCACCACAGCACAUGCAUGCCAUGGUCCUAUUCGGUAUUAGACCCAGUUUCCCAGGCUUAUCCCAAAGUGCAGGGCAGAUCACCCACGUGUUACUCACCCGUUCGCCACUCGAGUACCCCGAAGGGCCUUUCCGUUCGACUUGCA
rnacentral:rRNA from 1 species